AUUAAACAGCACUUGUAUAUUAAUUACCUCGUUAUUUAUUAUUUUAGAUUUUUUCCAUUUUAAAGAAUAAUAACAAAAAUAAUAAUAAUAAUAAUAAUAAUAUGGGCACGAGGUUGAACAAAAUAUUCACUUGUAUCCACAGACUGUAGUGUGUGAGAAUGGGCUCAAUUUAUGGAUCUGGGUUAAUUUGACUGGCCCAUCCAUUGAGCAACAAUGCCUGCAGAGGGAGUUUCUAUUGAGCCCCCUAAAUUUGCUACUCCAUACCGUGCACCAAAUAGGGUUUGCUAAGAAAUAUUUGGUAGGCCCAAAUAGUUCUUUCCAGAUGGCGUUAGAGUUCAGCCCAAGAGAGCUCAGCAAACCCAUGAUUUCGAAUUAUUGGACUUACCGAGCACACAACUGCUAAUCUGUAGUCCUUGCUACGAAAGUGUUGGAGUAUCAGCGCCCGCCCCCCCCCCCCCCCCCCCCAAAAUUUCUCUCAAAAUUAGAGGUGGCAAAAAUAUUCGUUCGGUCCGGAUAAAUAAUUUCUCUCAAAAUUAGAGGUGGUAAAAAUAUUCGUUUGGUCCGGACCUGGACCGUACCCGAGUAUUGUAGACUGAGUAUUAUUCGGCUCGGAUAUGAAGUCGGGUCGGUCUUGGGCAUCACUUGAUAAACCUGGAACCUAAAUUUUAUUAAAAAAAUAUUAAAUAUAUAUAUAUUAUUUUAAAUAUUUAUAUUUAUUUGACUCAUUUAUUAUACAUAUAUAAAGUUUUAAACACUUAAAGUUUAUAUUUUCAUGUCAAAUUUUAUUGAAAUAAAUUUAAAACUUAUAAA
rnacentral:lncRNA from 1 species